rnacentral:rRNA from 1 species
UGCUCCUUUGCGUUAGCGGCGGACGGGUGAGUAACACGUGGGUAACCUCCUUAGACUGGAAUAACUCCGGGAAACCGGGGCUAAUGCCGGAUACUUUAAACCGCUGGUUCUAAAGUGAAAGAUGGUUUUGCUAUCACUUAUAGAUGGACCCGCGCCGUAUUAGCUAGUUGGUAAGGUAACGGCUUACCAAGGCAACGAUACGUACCACCUGAGAGGGUGAUCGGCCACACUGGAACUGAACCGGUCCAACUCCUACGGGAGGCAGCAGUAGGGAAUCUUCCGCAAUGGGCGAAAGCCUGACGGAGCAACGCCGCGUGAGUGAUGAAGGUCUUCGGAUCGUAAAACUCUGUUAUUAGGAAAACAAAUGGUAAUAACUGUGCACGUCUUGACGGUACCUAAUCAAAAGCCACGGUAACUACGUGCCAGCAGCCGCGGUAAUACGUAGGUGGCAAGCGUUAUCCGGAAUUAUUGGGCGUAAAGCGCGCGUAGGCGGUUUCUUAAGUCUGAUGUGAAAGCCCACGGCUCAACCGUGGAGGGUCAUUGGAAACUGGAAACUUGAGUGCAGAAGAGGAAAGUGGAAUUCCUGUGUAGCGGUGAAAUGCGCAGAGAUAUGGAGAACACCAGUGAAGCGACUUUCUGGUCUGUAACUGACGCUGAUGUGCGAAGCGUGGGGAUCAAACAGAUUAGAUACCCUGGUAGUCCACGCCGUAAACGAUGAGUGCUAGUGUAAGGGGUUUCCGCCCCUUACUGCUGCGCUACGCAUUAGGCACUCCCUGGGAGUACGACGCAAGGAUGCAAGCUCAAAGGAUUGACGGUGAACCCACUAGCGUGCAGCAUGUAUUGAUUCGAGCUAAGCCUAACAACCAUAUAC